GAUGAACGCUGGCGGCGUGCUUAACACAUGCAUGUCGAACGAAGCACCUUAUUCUGAUUUCUUCGGAAUGAAAAAUUUGGUGACCGAGUGGCGGACGGGUGAGUAACGCGUGGGUAACCUGCCUCAUACAGGGGGAUAACAGUUAGAAAUGACUGCUAAUACCGCAUAAGACCACAGCACCGCAUGGUGCAGGGGUAAAACCUCCGGUGGUAUGAGAUGGACCCGCGUCUGAUUAGGUAGUUGGUGGGGUAACGGCCUACCAAGCCGACGAUCAGUAGCCGACCUGAGAGGGUGACCGGCCACAUUGGGACUGAGACACGGCCCAAACUCCUACGGGAGGCAGCAGUGGGGAAAAUUGCACAAUGGGGGAAACCCUGAUGCAGCGACGCCGCGUGAGCGAUGAAGUAUUUCGGUAUGUAAAGCUCUAUCAGCAGGGAAGAAAAUGACGGUACCUGACUAAGAAGCACCGGCUAAAUACGUGCCAGCCGCCGCGGUAAAAC
rnacentral:rRNA from 1 species